UUAAAUAGAUUGGUUAGAAAUAGGUCUAAGUAGAGCCUCCAGUACAGAGACUGCUGACAAGUAAGCAAUCUGGUUUUCUGAGGAAGUCUAAAGAGAUGUUAAUGCAAGAAAGCGCAGGUGAUGACACUGUUAAGUGACCAAAGUCUGACCAAAAUGAUUUCUACCUCAUUAUUUGAUGCACCUAGGCUUUCCUGGGCUUGAGCUCCCCAAGAUGACCCAUCCUUCUGCUAGGGCCCAGGUCAGAUGACCCCAUUUUGUCAUUUCCCCAGGCUUGACCACUAUGCCAUCAUCAAGUUCCCCUUGACCACUGAGUCUGCCAUGAAGAAGAUAGAAGACAACAACAACGACACACUUGUGUCCAUUGUGGAUGUCAAAGCCAAUAAGCACCAGAUCAAACAGGCUGUGAAGAAGUUCUAUGACAUUGAUAUGGCCAAGGUCAACACCCUGAUCAUGCCUGAUGGAGAGAAGAAAGCAUAUGUUCGACUGGCUCUUGAUUAUGAUGCUUUGGACAUUGCCAACAAAAUUGGGAUCAUCUAAACCGAGUCCAGCUGGCUAAUUCUAAAUAUAUAUAUCUUCUCACCUUAAAAAAA